rnacentral:rRNA from 1 species
AUUGAACGCUGGCGGCAGGCUUAACACAUGCAAGUCGAACGAGUGGCGGACGGGUGAGUCAUGUCUGGGAAACUGCCUGAUGGAGGGGGAUAACUACUGGAAACGGUAGCUAAUACCGCAUAUCAUCGGAUGCGCCCAGAUGGGAUUGGAGAGUAGGUGGGGUAAAGGCUCACCUAGGCGACGAUCACUAGCUGGUUUGAGCGGAUGGCCAGCCACAAUGGAACUGAGACACGGUCCAGACUCCUACGGGAGGCAGCAGUGGGGAAGAUUGCACAAUGGGCGCAAGCCUGAUGGUGCCAUGCCGCGUGUAUGAAGAAGGCCUUCGGGUUGUAAAGUACUUUCAGCGGGGAGGCGUUACCCGCAGAAGAAGCACCGGCUAACUCCGUGCCAGCAGCCGCGGUAAUUC